GUCAGGUUAGGCCAAUGAGUGCCUUGGAUCCAGUCAUAGAGCAUGGCGGGGCCUGCUCGGGGUUAGGUAUGUCUGAUCAGCAUCCUAACCUUGGUUUUAAUUAAAAUGUGAUAGUCCAAUUCGAUAAUUCUCUUGGAAAGAUUGAAUUCCUCCAGUAUUCCAUUGAUGCAAGGUAUUGUGAAUCAUUCUAUACAAUACCUUAAUCUUAUGAAUUUAUGUCGAAUCUUUUACUAAAGUAUCUUGAGCCUUUGAACUUCUAUCAUAUUGAUUCAGAAUUGUUAUUGUUU
rnacentral:lncRNA from 1 species